ensembl:rRNA 5S_rRNA 5S ribosomal RNA
GCUUACGGCCACGACGCCUGCUUAAUGCCCGAUCUCGUUUGAUCUCGGAAGCUAAGAUAGGUUGGGCCUGGUUAGUACUUGGAUGGGAGACCGCCUGGGGUUACCAGGUGCUGUAAGCU